GGAGUGUGUGAGUAAGACUCCAGCCCCAACACUACAAAUUAGCAUGGGAUAUGGGUGUCUGCAUUCAAACUGACUCGUUUCAAAUGGUUCUUCUCAUCCCUGUACAGAGUUCUUCUCUUCUCGUCUGUGGAACUUUGGGGGGUUUUGCUGUGACAUUUCCAUGGACCACUCAAUGCCAUAACCAGAGAAAUCUUACACUGGGCAUUUUGUCUUGCAAAUGCCCUUGCACGUGUGCGCAUGCUGUUGACAACGGAUGACAGGGUCCAUCAGUAUCCAAGGUGGAGCAUUUGUAUAGGAUUCAAAGUGGAGUUGAGGCAAGUACCAGAAAGCAGAGAUCCCUUAAUUCUGCUCUUGGUUUCGUGGCUUUGAACCAGAAAUCUUCCAGAGCAGAAUGCCAUUCAGUGCGGCCAGUCGGACCGUAAGAACAGCCCUACUGCUGAAGGCCAGAGGUAUAUCCAGCCCACCUAGCCCCAUUCACUUCAGUCUUACAACCCCUGAAAACACCUCAUUUUCCCAGCUGGUGACUGUCUAUUUUGUCUCUUCUCAUGUGGAAGCUAUUUCA